rnacentral:sRNA from 1 species
AGAAAAGUAGGUGCCGCCCCGCACAGGGGCGACGCGUGAAGUACGAAAGCAAAACGCGGAUGCCAGCGACAAGCGCAAAAAACACAAAAGCCUCGC